rnacentral:RNase_P_RNA from 1 species
UAAGUUGGCUGGACGGUCGCGGGGCGGUGUAUCAUCGCCUUGAGGAAAGUCCGGGCUCCCAAGGGCAGGACGCUGGAUAACGUCCAGUGGCGGUGACGUCGAGGAUAGUGCCACAGAAAUGAGAACCGCCGUUCUUCGGAACGGUAAGGGUGCAACGGUGGGGUAAGAGCCCACCAGCGGUGCGGUGACGCAUCGGCUAGGUAAACCCCGUCCGGGAGGAAGACUCAUUCGGAGACGAAGAACUUCGGUUCUUCCCUGGCGGCUCGUCAGGAUGUCUUCGAGUACGUCGCAUCAGGCGGACGGUAACGUUCGUCGCAGAGAGAUGGCCGUCAGCAGCAAUGCUACAGAACCCGGCUUACAGGUCGACUUGCUAG